UGGCACUGUGGCAGUGGGAUGUGCUAAUUGUUCGCCCACUGCCAUCUCCAUUUACCACUCACAGUGAACUGUGAGAGGUGGAGAAAGCGCAAAGUAUUUGCUUUUCUUUCCCUCAAACUUACCCAAAACAACGUAUCCUGCCAAAUAAACAUAAGGGGACCUCUGUAAAUCUGGCACCCGUGCAUAGAUCGUAUUACAAGGGACUAUUUAUAAUCCCCAGGAACAAACUAAAGGCUGUGUGGGGGUUGGGGGUUUCGCUUUGUUUUUAAUCAGGCUCUCAUUUUUUUCCUUUGAAAUGGGAAAAUAAAAUGCAUCUUCUAGAAAUUUAUCUAUUUCUUACUUUUGGAUUCAGUCUUGUAUUUCAGAUCCCUGCAAAUAGUUUUCCGGAGUUUGAAAUGCUUUUAUGAUUGAAAAUGCACAUUUCUCAUGGGCACUCACAGAACUGAAACAGCAUGAUUUGCAAGCUCGCUAAAUGGAUUUCUUCCAAGCAAGUCAUUGGGGUAGUGUGAUGUCACCGGAGGUGCUCUUCCUGCCCGGGCUCUCAGCCUGGUCCUGGCAGACUGUGCCCACAGUGGGGACACGUGGACCCUGCUGGGGACUCAGAUGUCACCGCCUGCUCAGUGUCCACUGCUGUGCCUGUCCAGUGCCCGCUGUGCCUCAUGCAUGUGCCCCGAAGAAGCACAGCUUCCAAAUGCGUGCUAAAAAAAGCAACGCAGGGGAGGAGUUAUAAAUGAUACCAAAGCUAGAAGGAAGAUGGGGACAAGCAUGGGAUGAGUGUUGGCAGCAGAAUGGCUCUGUGCUUGGUCUGGAUCUGCAUGAGCAUGGGAGGUGCGUUGCUCUGCACCGCUCUCAUGAGCCCCUGCCUGUAGUACUACGCUCUGCUCUGGGCCUCCAGCUCAAGGAGAACAUGGAGCUGUUGGAGUGAGUCCAGAGGAGGCUCAGAGGGCUGGAACACCUCUUCUACAGAGUCAGGUGGUGGCCAGUCUGGAGAAAAGAAGGCUCUGGGAAGACCUCCUUGUGUCCUUCCAGUAUCUAAAGGGGCUGCUGAAAGCUGGGGGGGGGAC
ensembl:lncRNA